GAGAGCGGGAACCUGGCUCACCAUCCCAGGAUGUGGGCUUGUUUGAUUCCCCUCUUGUUUGUGUGUGUGACGCUCACUGUCAGACACAGGGCUCCCCUCAGAGUGUGGGACCCGGCCCUCUCUCCCCUCUAUCUACUAGCAACAAGGCUUUUCAGCAACCAGGAAGGAAAUCACCAUUAUCAGCGUCUGCAAGAGCUCCUCAGCCGGCGCAUGUACUCCUCACACCAUCUCUACAGUGUAGGAACCACAUUCACAGUUCCAUGCAAGGAAAUGGAAGCUUCUAGAAACCAGGUGACUCACAAAGCCAGGAAGCAGUAGGGACGGCGUUCAAACCUGGGUUUGUCUGAAACCAAAGCCCAUGUUGCUUUCUCUGGAUUAGAACUACUCACAAUGGAAGCGUGGACUGGUUCUGGAAUAUUCCACCACCACCUGUGCUUCCACAGAAUAUCUGAUUUCCAGCUGAAAGAGCGACUCAUGUAAAAAGGAGGUGGUUGGGAAAGGGAACUUUUCUCUUCUCCACGUAGUUUUUAGAAGAAGCAUUCUUCCUCCGGAUCCCUGGAGCAGGUGGCCACUGCCUCCACCUCGGGAAAGUCGGAUUGGCACUGUUUCUCCAAGCGGGUGGACUGUUUUGGUGGAAGUUUGUGGUAAAACACUGCCCUCAUCUGGACUUCUGGGCAUCAUGCAAUGGGGUGGCUACAGAGGAUUCUCAGAAGAACAAAAGUGCGCCUGGGUUACGUGCCCAGAGACACAGUGAAAAGCUGCUCCUACUGUUCAUCAUGCGUACGCCUUACUCUUCGGACUGACUCCUCAGAAUGGAAGCAGAAAGACGUUUUGGAACUGGCUGAACAAUGAUUUCCUAUCCUUUCUUUUUUUCUUUUUUGAGGAAGAUUAGCCCUGAACUAACUGCUGCCAAUCCUCCUCUCCUCCUUGUGGAGGAAGACUGGCCCUGAGCUAACAUCCGUGCCCAUCUUCCUCCACUCUCAUCCUUUUUUACGGAGGUGGCUGAGUUCUGUGGACAGAAGUAGGUAAAAAUCUUUAACCACAGGACAGACUGAGUAAUCGAAGUAAUACACCUAAACCAUCAGACACAAAGAGCUCCAACGAACCCUGAAUAGCAAGAAC
rnacentral:lncRNA from 1 species